AACGGCCAUACCAUGCUGAAUAUACCGGUUCUCGUUAGAUCAUAUAGUAGGUUAGAAGAUUAGAAGUUAGGUUAGAAGUCAAGCAUCAUUGGGCGCGGUCAGUACUUGGGUGGGUGACCACCUGAGAACACCGCUUGCCGUCG